rnacentral:rRNA from 1 species
AAGGAUCAUUACAGUGAUUUUGUGGGUCCUGUAUUAGGAAUAUCCCACUAAUUCACCAUCCCGUGCCGAAUGACGAAAACCACUGCUUCGGCGGGUAGCCCCGCCGGCAGUACCCCCUUCAACUCGCUAUUUUGAUGUCGUCUGAGCGUGAAUUGAAAUAGUCAAAAAAACUUUCAACAACGGAUCUCUUGGUUCUGGCAUCGAUGAAGAACGCAGCGAAAUGCGAUAAGUAAUGCGAAUUGCAGAAUUCAGUGAGUCAUCGAAUCUUUGAACGCACAUUGCGCCCUUCGGCAUUCCGGGGGGCAUGCCUGUCCGAGCGUCGUUUCCACCGCCCCUCGUGGGCUGGCCACGAGCCUUGUGCUCGACGUUGGACUUCUUCGCCUCUGGGCGAGAGGCCCCAAAAUUAGGGUAUAGGCAUCGAUCCUCUAGCCGCAGUAGAAUGUUUUCGGCUUAGAAGGAACGGUGCUGGUGCCGAAAUCUCGAUGAGAUAGCGUAGCGCAGUGAUGCCUACGCCGGAAGGGAUGCUCGUCAGCACCCCAGAAUUCGACCUCGGAUCAGGUAAGGAUACCCGCUGAACUUAAGCAUAUCA